rnacentral:rRNA from 1 species
GACGAACGCUGGCGGCGUGCCUAAUACAUGCAAGUAGAACGCUGAAGGAGGAGCUUGCUUCUCUGGAUGAGUUGCGAACGGGUGAGUAACGCGUAGGUAACCUGCCUGGUAGCGGGGGAUAACUAUUGGAAACGAUAGCUAAUACCGCAUAAGAGUAGAUGUUGCAUGACAUUUGCUUAAAAGGUGCAAUUGCAUCACUACCAGAUGGACCUGCGUUGUAUUAGCUAGUUGGUGGGGUAACGGCUUACCAAGGCGACGAUACAUAGCCGACCUGAGAGGGGGAUCGGCCACACUGGGACUGGGACACGGCCCAGACUCCUCCGGGAGGCAGCAGUAGGGAAUCUUCGGCAAUGGACGGAAGUCUGACCGAGCAACGCCGCGUGAGUGAAGAAGGUUUUCGGAUCGUAAAGCUCUGUUGUAAGAGAAGAACGAGUGUGAGAGUGGAAAGUUCACACUGUGACGGUAUCUUACCAGAAAGGGACGGCUAACUACGUG